rnacentral:rRNA from 1 species
UACGGGGGGGAGCAAGCGUUGUCCGGAAUCACUGGGCGUAAAGCGCACGUAGGCGGAUGUGUCAGUCAGGGGUGAAAUCCCGGGGCUCAACCUCGGAACUGCCUUUGAUACAGCACGUCUCGAGUCCGGAAGAGGUGGGUGGAAUUCCUAGUGUAGAGGUGAAAUUCGUAGAUAUUAGGAAGAACACCGGUGGCGAAGGCGGCCCACUGGUCCGGUACUGACGCUGAGGUGCGAAAGCGUGGGGAGCAAACAGG